rnacentral:rRNA from 1 species
GACGAACGCUGGCGGCGUGCCUAAUACAUGCAAGUAGAACGCUGAAGAGAGGAGCUUGCUCUUCCUGGAUGAGUUGCGAACGGGUGAGUAACGCGUAGGUAACCUGCCUUGUAGCGGGGGACAACUAUUGGAAACGAUAGCUAAUACCGCAUAACAAUGUAUGACACAUGUCAUUUAUUUGAAAGGUGCAAUUGCUCCACUACAAGAUGGACCUGCGUUGUAUUAGCUAGUAGGUGAGGUAAUGGCUCACCUAGGCGACGAUACAUAGCCGACCUGAGAGGGUGAUCGGCCACACUGGGACUGAGACACGGCCCAGACUCCUACGGGAGGCAGCAGUAGGGAAUCUUCGGCAAUGGGCGCAAGCCUGACCGAGCAACGCCGCGUGAGUGAAGAAGGUUUUCGGAUCGUAAAGCUCUGUUGUUAGUGAAGAACGGUGGUGAGAGUGGAAAGUUCACACAGUGACGGUAGCUAACCAGAAAGGGACGGCUAACUACGUG